UCUCUCUCUCUCUCUCUAUCAAACAGAAGGCUUUGAGGCAGUUCUGCCUGUGACACACAUUAACACUGACACAGGGGCCUCCAGGCCUACUGCCACCCCCCUGCAAUGGCCUCCCUCCCUUUAUUACACUGCAGCUGAUAACACUGACAAUAUAGCUCUUUAGCCCUAAUCAAAGUACUUCUUUUUUUUUUUCAUGCGAUCAGAAUGCCUGGAAAAAUGUAUCGAUUUGACAUAUUUGUCUGUAUGGAUCGGAAUAAAAUCCAGGCCUGAAUGAAAGAGAACUCUUCACCAUGUUGUGUUGUACCCUUACAUUUUAUUAACAAAGACUGCAUAAUUACAAUUACAGAGACAGAUUUCAUUUUUAACAUUAGUUGAUUACAAGCCAAAAAAAAAAAAAAAAAAAAUUGUAAUGCAAGUCUGUGUCUCUCAAAUUCAGAAAUAAAACUCAGAACAUGUGAAAUUGGGACAUGUGCAGUAAGAGCAGAAGGAAAUUCUCAUACUCAAUACCAUUUCACAGAAAGCAAUUAAACUGGAUCCACCAAAAGCUAGUGAGAAUUCAGUAAGCGAGUAAGAGAAACCAGAUGGAUUCCACCCCAUGUGAACAGUGUGCUAACUGCAAUAUAUUCCAUAUAGUUAGUAAAGGCUUGGUUACAGAUAGCAUAUGUUUUCAGUAGUACCAAAAAAAAAAAAAAAAAAAAAAAAGGAGUGCCCAUUUUGAAAAGCUGAUAACUAACCUAUUCAAUAAUGAAGCCUGUAUGUAAUAGUCUGACAUGACGAUAUGUUAAAAAUACGUGUUAGCAUGAAAUACUAGCGAUGGCCAAUGGGUCUGAAUGAUUUAGGAGAUCAUUUUUAAGUAUUGUCACCAUUAAACAACAAACGGGUGAUGUCAGAGGUCUUGAUGAAGCGCUGUAAUGGAAAGAGUAAGCCUUGGCAGAUUGUUUUUACAGCCGUAUGAAUGAUUAUUGUGCACAAGUGUGCAAAAAAAAAAAAAAAUAUCAGAUGUUCCAUUUAAAAAAAAAAAAAGCAGAAGCUGGAAACAAGACAGUGGUUGUAAUACAUCCUGCAUGAUAUACGAUCAAGACCAUAUUGAGGAGUUACAGAGUGACGGUAUAGACAGGCCUGACGUUUACAUUAAUGUUCCUGUUUAAGAGGAACAGCAUGCCAUUGUAAUGUUGUGUAAUCCCCCUUUUUCAGCUCUCUUCCAUCACACGUUCUAUAUAAAAAAAAAAUCUUGCAAAACAUGCAAAGCUUUAAGCCGUUCGAUUGCGUUUCAACAUACCUCUUGCAAACCGUUAAAGAACCAACCAUUUCUAGGUGACUUUGAUAGUAUUAAAGGACAGCCCAAGAAGUGUUGGGAAUGGGAAUGAAUAAUUGGAAUGGCCAGUUUUAAGAUACUUUAGUUCUCAGUUCACCUCAAGUAGUGGAGAUUAAAUAGGAAUUAAUCCCUGGUCUCUGGUCAGGACAUUCAGAUAAGGAUACAUAUGUACAAGCGAUGCGUGUUUUCUGUGCAGACGAUGAAACCAAAGCAAGGUUUUUAUUUGGCCUUCUCCUGUGCCACUGGCUCCGUUUGCACUCCGGCAUCAGAGUGGCGUUUUUGACCCUGAGAAACAAUCAAAAGGCACAAACAGAUGGAGACUUAGUUUCAUUAUUUGCGUUCGGUAAGUUUCACAGCCUUGAGCACAACUGAUCGCAACCUGUCUGACAACUGGAUUCUUAUUUAAAUAAGCUUCCUUUAUGCAUCGAGCUCAAACAUGUCCUCACUGAAGCUCACUGCUAGCACUACGACUAAUAUAUUUAGUUCCCGUAGUGUACUAUCUUGGCUACUGUGUACUUCUCAAUUGACUUAAUAUAAAGAUGAGAAAACAUAAAGAUAGACUCAACAUGUGGACCUUUUGGCAAUGUACUAAAAUACGACUGCUGUUCUGCUGCUCUCUUGAGAUACCACUACCAUUUACAAGUAUUAUUAUUAUUAUUAUUAUUAUUAUUAUUAUUAUUAUUAUUAUUACCGUAAACAACUUAGAACAAUGUGUAGAGGAAUCCGUGUAUUAUUAAGACCUUUUUUGGAAGAGUACUAACAAUAAUGUAUGAGCUUACAAGUCUAUUUUUGCCAUCUGAGCUCACCUAGUGGUUAGAGCUUGUCACUGUUGGUCAGACACAACAUGAAACAAGUCUGAAAGAAGUGUCUCGAAAGAAGUGACUCAUUUUUUUUUUUUUUUUUUUUUUUUAGAACAUUUCAGAAUGCUGGGUAAAGGUUGUUGUUUUUUUAUUUUUUUUUUUUUUUAUCUUAACCAGAUAUAAACCCAGUCAAUAAUGCUCAACACAGAGUACGUAAUAUUAAAUUACACCUCAGCAUUGUUGAAUGCUCAAUUCUGAUUGGUCAAAAUAUAACGCUCUCAUUCUGAUGUUAUUGUUUUCUACAGUAACUAUAUAUCUGACUUGACAUUAACUUCAAUAAAAGAGAAACUGUUAACGACAGGAACAAACUAGAAAUGAAAUAAAAAAAAUAUCAUUCUUUUAUGAAUAAACGUUGUAAAUGUCUGCAAAUUGUUGUGGUAUAUCACUUUUUUUUUUUUUUUUAACAACUUUGCCAAAUCAACUUUGGCACGUCACAUCACUCUGUCAUUGAUUAUUUUCCUCUAAUAACAAACCCCGUUAUGUUUUAUUCCUUACUUAAGUAAGGCCAUGUUAUUAUAAGGCAGUUAAGUAAUAUAAAAGUCAGUAAAGACUAUACUGUUAUUGCAAUACCUUAUGAAAUUUCUUUAAAGGAAUGUACAAUACUGUGAUAUAAAUAUAAAAUAUCGCAAUAUAAAUGACUAGUCCGUCCAUUCUGGAGUAAGUCUUAAAGGUUCUACAUAAAACCGUUCAAUAGAGUGUUUCCUAUCAGAUAAGGUUCUAAGUAAAGUUGAAAAGCUCUUAAGAAUGCUGGAGAAGCCUUUAUUUAUGUAAAGCGUCUGCAAAAACAAGCAGAUCUUUUCAUUCUUGAUAUGUGCACAAUUCAUUCACUUUUAAAAAAUAAUUUUUACUCUUAUACUGUCCUUAAUAUAAUGUGCUAUCAUUUCUAUGUCCGUGUCGCUGUAAUUGAUCUGUCAUUUGGAAACGGUUACGCAAUGCCUGACUUCCACCUUUAACAUAUCCGACUACUUGUUAGGGUUAUUUUCAGUUUACCAAGCUUUUAAAGAACAGAUGGAUGGAGUUCCUCUUCUCUAGUUUGCGGGAGGUGCUGGGUGAAGAAUUAUCUGUACUCCCCACCGACUUGUUGUCUGGAGAGGCCGCAGCAGGAGCAGCAGCAACAGCUGCUGGUUUGGGCUCUUCUUUGGCCUUGGUGCUUGGGGUAGCCUCUGCAGGUGCAGUGGGGGCUGUAGGGGCUUCCUUCUUGGACUCUGCAGCCUUGUGGAAUAUAAAUAAACUAAAUAAAUAAAUUAAACUUUUAAAUGGCAUAUUAUUUUAUUUCACAAACUCCAUGGCUUAUGUUAUCUACAACGCAAAGGCUUUGAAAAGAUGAGAGAACAAGAGCACAGAGCAAAAAGGAAUUAAUGUGAUUUUAAAAUAAAUAAAUAAAUAAAUAAAAAGGUCAAGGGGUGUGUCUCGAUCAGCUUCUUAGCUCCCUAGGUCAGUGGUUUUCAAAGUGGGGGCCGCAGCCCCCGCCACAGGGCGCCCGGGGGGGCUCAACAAUUUGGUGUGAAAAAUAAAUUCUCACUCUCAGACCACACACACACACAAUCAAAUUCUAAUGUAAUGUAAUGUAAAGAUGUAAGAUGUAAUUAUUAAUUAAAAAGGGGGGGGGGGGAUAUAUUCAGAAGUCUGUAUUUUUUAUGUGUUUUAAAGACAUCUUGCAAAAGGGGGCCUCGGUCAAAUGUUAAUGCCAUUUGGGGGGCCUUGCCCUGGAAAAGUUUGGGAACCCCUGCCCUAGGUCAUGAAUCAGUAUAUUGUGUACAUGAGUUCGGACACUGGUAAGGACCCUGGCUCACUACACAUUGGGACACUGAUGACUCAAUUUCAGGCGACAUGGCUACGUUGUAAAACGUCACCACUGGCAUUUAUCAACAACAUGCAGGACUGAUAUUAUUCUGACAUUAUAUGGCAUAAAUUUGUUCGCUUAAUCACACACAUUUCUGUUAUGCUGCUUCAAGCAGGAUCGUAGCCCAGCUAGUGGAUUUUUAAAAAUCAUUAAACACUUAAAAGUUAUUAGACUCAAACAAACCGUACAGAGAACGUCAAAUAAAGUUAAAAAUGCCUACGCGAACAUAAGUAAUCAUUUGAGAGCUACAACAACGACAACAAGCUACUUACAAUUGUAGACGAAGUUGUCUGAGACUUCAUCUGCAUUUUUUUUGUUGUUGUUGUUGUUUUUAGCUGAGAAGCUUCAGAAAACAUGAUGUCAUUUUCAGUAAGGAACAUAGUGAGCAUCGAUGGCCCCUAGUUUUUGCGGUGCAUCGUGGGAUUUUUACGGAAUGAACGUCCCAGCGCACUGGAAGGAUUUUGCGAUCAAGACAGCCCUUAAAAUGGCCGACUCCCUGAUCAGUGUCUGGAUUACUGAACUAGGGGGCUGAUUGAGACGCACCCAAGGAAAAGCCAUUGCUAUGACAAGAUAGCUUUGCAUCAGGAACAGGGUUAUUGGUAAGGCAUAAAAAGUGUAAAACGUGACCUGCUUUGUGUUAUAAUACAAGAAUCCACAUACAACAUAAUUAUGCUAACGUUUGAGUCAAAAAUCAAGCAACUGACAAUAAUAACGAGCCACAAAAUCAAAUCAGGAGUUAAUCUGACCACUUUUUGUUUUUUAGUUCAGUCAGUGUUAACAAACAAAAAUUGCCACAAGAUACUGGGAAUUUACCGCUCCUCCAGCACCAAGGGAGAUGCUGGCUGCGGCACUCGAAGCAGCUGAAUGGAUCUUAGAGCUCACUUGGCCUAGCAGUACCUCAAAUUCAUACAAGUCAUUUUUACUACAUGCAAUCACUCAUACCACAUGUUUGAUAAGCUCUAGAGUAUUGCAUCUAACUCCAAGUGUAUUUACCUUUGGUUUGAGCAAGUUGGCGAAAGGUGAGGGCUUCUUCUCUGCUUUCUUUUCUUCUGGUUUGGGUGCUGGAGCGGGUUCGGGUUUGGCGCCGGCCUCAAGGGUGCUGGUCUUGGACGCAUCUACCUUAAAGAGGGUGCAGCAGAAAGCUUGAAUAUGAUAAGAAACACGACUCAUGAAGAAGGAAAUGAAUGAGAGGAGAUAGAAAAGAGGAACAAUGGGGGAAAGGUUAACAGCAGUAUUGCAAGAGGAAGCACUGAAGCAAUGAAAUUGGAACAAAAAGGAACAUGACUGGAAUGAAAGAUGCCAUCUGAAUUUCCUAUAGAACAAAGACCCAUAUUCAGAAGAUAGCCCAAAAAGGACACGGAGAAGCUUUCAAGAAGGUAUCAGUAUGAUCAGCUGUCAGCAGCUGAUCAUAUUGAAACAGUGCUGAACUUAUUUACCUGUAUCUCAACUGGCUUUGCUUCCUCUAUCACCCCAGACUGUAGGCAAGCAGAUAUUUGGAUUAACUAGGCAUGAAUCUACAAUACCCAAGAGCAUUCUCUUCAGUCUCACAAGAACACUAACUAAGCUGUUUGGAAUACAAUGCCUCCGUAUCAAUAAAUGUGAUGUCAUUAUUAAGUGAAAUGAGACGGACUCAAUAAAACCCAAAGCUCAUGGUUUAGUUGGCUGACAGUGAUAAUACAGUAUGAGGUAAUGGCUGCUGUCAGAAUGAUGUCACUGCAAUGAAGGCUCAGCUGUUUAUUCAUUAUCAUGGGUGGGUUUUUUUACGUCUCGUUGUUAUGGCACAGUAUAGACUCUGUUCACUGAAUAUCACUAAGGCCUAUAGGAAUGAGAUUGCAAUAACAAAUGUCUCCAAUUCGAUUAUAGGUAUAACACCAGCAAGCGGCAAAUAAUCAUAAU
ensembl:lncRNA